UACGUAGGGUGCGAGCGUUAAUCGGAAUUACUGGGCGUAAAGCGUGCGCAGGCGGUUUUGUAAGCCAGAUGUGAAAUCCCCGGGCUCAACCUGGGAAUGGCAUUUGGGACUGCAAGGCUUGAGUGCGGCAGAGGAGACUGGAAUUCCUGGUGUAGCAGUGAAAUGCGUAGAUAUCAGGAGGAACACCGGUGGCGAAGGCGGGUCUCUGGGCCGAUACUGACGCUGAGGAGCGAAAGCGUGGGGAGCGAACAGG
rnacentral:rRNA from 1 species